rnacentral:lncRNA from 1 species
CUUGUCCCAUAGAGGUUGGAGAGGAACAGUGCAAAAAUACACAAAGCAACAAGCAUGGACAGGAACAGGAUCUUGCUACAAAGUACAAUUUACACUACAAAGGAAUAUACUAUACACAAUGCACACAAUGCGCAGUAGCUCUGACUUGAUCACCAGGCAUUCACGCACAACAACACAAGCUUUUCAGUUUUCACACUGGGAGCAGAGACACUCACAGCCGGUGCGUGACUGAUGGCAGGCUCUCACAUCGUUGCAAUGGCAGCCCCACCGAGACGGCCGGGGGGCGUGCGCAGUAAAGGCCGUCUUUCAGUGCCGCCACAGCCCUUGUCGAUCAAAUUCGAUCUCCUGCACUGCACCCUGUGAUGAUGGAGGAGUGAAUACUGAAUGGGUAGGCAGGGCAGGGAGACGUGCGUGCGUGAGAACGGGCGCAGAGAUGACAGAUUCUGCCUGCGUGCAAGAUCCAAGGAGACAAAGGCGGACGCGCCUGGCCCUGCCCUGCCUUUUCGCGAGCACACACAUUCAUGUCCGGCCAGGCCCCGGACCCUCAAUCAUGCGUGCGUGUGCUGUUGCUGCUCGUCAGCCACAACAAAGUCCUGUUACCUUGUUGCUUGUGCACGAGGGGUGGU